ACGAACGCUGGCGGCGUGCUUAACACCUGCCAGUCGCACGGAAAGGCCCUGCUUUUGUGGGGUGCUCGAGUGGCGAACGGGUGAGUAACACGUGAGUAACCUGCCCUUGACUUUGGGAUAACUUCAGGAAACUGGGGCUAAUACCGGAUAGGAGCUCCUGCUGCAUGGUGGGGGUUGGAAAGUUUCGGCGGUUGGGGAUGGACUCGCGGCUUAUCAGCUUGUUGGUGGGGUAGUGGCUUACCAAGGCUUUGACGGGUAGCCGGCCUGAGAGGGUGACCGGCCACAUUGGGACUGAGAUACGGCCCAGACUCCUACGGGAGGCAGCAGUGGGGAAUAUCGCACAAUGGGCGGAAGCCUGAUGCAGCAACGCCGCGUGCGGGAUGACGGCCUUCGGGUUGUAAACCGCUUUCGCCUGUGACGAAGCGUGAGUGACGGUAAUGGGUAAAGAAGCACCGGCUAACUACGUG
rnacentral:rRNA from 1 species